AUUGAACGCUGGCGGCAGGCCUAACACAUGCAAGUCGAGCGGAUGAAGGGAGCUUGCUCCUGGAUUCAGCGGCGGACGGGUGAGUAAUGCCUAGGAAUCUGCCUGGUAGUGGGGGAUAACGUCCGGAAACGGGCGCUAAUACCGCAUACGUCCUGAGGUAGAAAGUGGGGGAUCUUCGGACCUCACGCUAUCAGAUGAGCCUAGGUCGGAUUAGCUAGUUGGUGGGGUAAAGGCCUACCAAGGCGACGAUCCGUAACUGGUCUGAGAGGAUGAUCGGUCACACUGGAACUGAGACACGGUCCAGACUCCUACGGGAGGCAGCAGUGGGGAAUAUUGGACAAUGGGCGAAAGCCUGAUCCAGCCAUGCCGCGUGUGUGAAGAAGGUCUUCGGAUUGUAAAGCACUUUAAGUUGGGAGGAAGGGCAGUAAGUUAAUACCUUGCUGUUUUGACGUUACCAACAGAAUAAGCACCGGCUAACUUCGUG
rnacentral:rRNA from 1 species